ensembl:lincRNA 4933406C10Rik RIKEN cDNA 4933406C10 gene
CCUUUUGUGGCUGUGACUGCCCGCCCUCACAACGGCCCGUUUUCUUCCCAGUGCUCUGAACUUUUGGGCAAAUGUGUCAAGUGUGUACACAGACAAAGCCUCACUUCAAAGCUCGUGUUCAGGGCCCUUAAAGUCAUAGUUAUUGCAAAACUGCGGCCGUCUGGCGAACCUGCCUUAUGUAAGGGUGCUUGAACGUAUGAUUCACCAAACAUUUCCGCAGACAUCGCAAAGUUGUUGGAGCCAGAGUAGGAGAAAGACCACCCAUUUGAGAUCAUGGCUUGACAGGGAACACUCCCUCCUGCCACCAGAAUGGGACCAAUCUAGACAUCUCUUCUCUGGCUUCCUUGUGCCUGGCCUUUUUUGGAGGGUUGGGAUAGUGGCCUGUCUUCAUGCAUGGUGAGAUAACACCAACAUCGAAGGAAGAUCUUUGCCACAGAGGAUCCUAGUUCCAGCUCCCAGGUAUCGGCCCCAACGCCUCCUAUCUUGUGGAUCGAGUUCCUGUGGAGGAAGCUAACACAGCGGUUCUCUGAAGUCUGGCAUCUGUUCUGCUCGGUUCUGUGUUUCAAGGGUCUGACCCUAAGCCUGGCUUCUUUAAAAAGCAAAACAAAAUGGAAGACGCCCGCCCCGGAGAUGAAUUCUGGGAAGUUAGUCUUUGGGAGAAAGGUCGCUCUCCAGGAAGAAUUUCUGAGCCAGGUGAAACAUUGCUUCAAUCACACAAGAAUGAAACAACCUUCUGACACCCCUACUACCACCACUACCUCCCUUCACAUGAGUGAACUUGGAACACAGGCUGGCCCUGUUUGGACCAUGCUCAUUCUGAGAUCCACAGGCUCAUGGGUGAGCAACAAUGUUGUUAAAAGCAGCCAAUCGUGACUGUGGCCUUUUAACUUCUCAGCUGAGAAAGAAAAGACAGCGGGUGCCUUUAUACUGCAAAACAAGACCUUCUUGAUGAAGAUUUUGUGCAAUGCAUUGUGACCAUACUUAAGGUGCAUCCAGUUAGACAUGCUCAGUUUUCAGUGACCCACAAAGAGGGACAUGACUGUAAAAUGAAACAACUCAAAAUACCUUGGGAUGGAUGGAGCUCGGGGAAGAAGAGCUCAGACAUAGACAGCAGGGAAGGUCACUUAUGCCAAGAUGAAGUGUAAAUAUUUUAUCCAGGGGACGGCAGGGACAGGAUGGGCACAGGCGAGAAUGGUGUGUAUCCACAGCUUCACACAUACCUACUUCUAUCCACGCCUGUAUGUUGGCAUAGAUGUUAUCAGAUUUCUUAAGAGUCUAAUUUUAAAGCCGCUACUGACACCUUUCUGUGGGACAGGAUAAAAAAGAGUGGGCAGCAAGCCUGCAUUUUGAGAAGAAGCCUCUUUGCACCCCACAUUUAAGAUCCCUCUUGGCUGUGAAAGAAAACCAAAGAUACAAAACCACACAGAAGCAGAGCUUAAUGGAUGAUGGUAAGGAUGUUGGAUCAUAGCUGCCCUCUUCCCGCCUCAGGAACCACUCUUUUUGAAUAAAAUCAUUGCCUCCCUGCAUUCCCUUCUAGGUAGCCAUCUCAAUGUGUGGCCCUCAACACUGCAGGUUAACAUUGUCCCUUCUCUUGGAAAUUGUUUGAUAUCCUAUCAAGUAAUUUCUAAUACUG